CACCUCUCAGCUUCACACCUGGAGAGUUUCCAGUCCUCUACCAGUCUUGGCAAUGGGAGAGACAGUCAAGCAGAGGCCUACUCAUCCCAUUCCCAGCUUGGCCAGUGGCUAGCGAGUGACAGACAAUCUGCUACAAGU